rnacentral:rRNA from 1 species
CCUACGGGUGGCUGCAGUGAGGAAUAUUGGUCAAUGGGCGGAAGCCUGAACCAGCCAAGCCGCGUGAGGGAUGAAGGUACAGAGUAUCGUAAACCUCUUUUGUCAGGGAACAAAGGCGGGGACGCGUCCCCGGAUGAGUGUACCUGAUGAAAAAGCAUCGGCUAACUCCGUGCCAGCAGCCGCGGUAAUACGGAGGAUGCGAGCGUUAUCCGGAUUUAUUGGGUUUAAAGGGUGCGGAGGCGGUUUGUUAAGUCAGCGGUCAAAGCCCGGGGCUCACCCCCCGGACCGCCGUUGAAACUGGCAGGCUCGAGUUGGAGAGAAGUAGGCGGAAUGCGCGGUGUAGCGGUGAAAUGCAUAGAUAUCGCGCAGAACUCCGAUUGCGAAGGCAGCAUGCCGGCUCCACACUGACGCUGAGGCACGAAAGCGUGGGUAUCGAACAGGAUUAGAUACCCUUGUAGUC